AAUACCAGGGUUAUGCUCCUUUGACCAUUGAGUUCCAGGAUGAAGAAUGAAAGACAGAGAGCAAUGUGAAGACAUGAAAGAAUGGGCAGGUCUGCCAUGAAAUGGUUUAUCCAGGGCUAAGUACAGAGAGGAAUAUAGAAGGGCUGUUGACAGAUCUUGUGUGGUGCCCCCAUGGUUCAACAGACUGAUUGAUAGAAUGUAUGAAACAUGACAUCCAUAGGAACAGAUGAUAAGCCUGGGUAAAAAAACAUUUCCAGUGUGUUUGAUGAUUCCAGCAAUACAUAUUAAAUUGGUUAAAUUUGAAUUUUAUCAAUAAAAAUGAGUUAUUAUUUAAUACUU